AGCUGCAGGAAAGUUGGGGCAGGAAGGAGACGGCCCAGGCAGUUGGCAAGUAGCAAGGCCUGUCCCACUACCCCUGCAGCAGCACCGUUCCACACCCAAGAUGCUCCUGUGAAAAGUCGCUCCUGAAUUCCGAGAGAGAACCACUCGCUCAGGUGCAGCUUCCCGCCUGUGCGCACUCGUCGCUUGCCCAGGCUGGACUGGGGCAGCGUUACCUGCUGGGGCCGCUUACCCCUGCCCCCAUUGUGACAUGAGCCCUGUGAUGUCACAGGGACCAGAGCACAUCACAGCCAGGCCAGCCCCGCCCCUUGUCCCCACCCCAGCUCAGGGACUCAAAAUGGCCCCCGCACAACCAAAGGCCCGACAGCCCCAAAAUGCAGGCCCACCUCUCUGCAAUGGGUCUCCAGGGACCCCCUUUCCAAAGCAGGCAGAAGCCCCCAAAGCCUUGUCAAACAUCCAAUUGGGUGCUGUGACUCAUGGAUGCUUUGCUCCCUGAGAUCCCCUCCUAGCUGUGAUUGUUUACUGGUGACCGGCUGACACUGACACUGCAGGGAUUGGAGAAGAACAGUUUUUCUGUGGAUCUGUGGAUCCAUUCUGCGGAUCUGUGGAUGGCUAAAAGAGCUCUAUUCAAACACCACGGCAAAGGGAAUAAAUUUUUCAAUGAAGGGUUUUCUUA